UGGGGAAUAUUGGGCAAUGGGCGCAAGCCUGACCCAGCAACGCCGCGUGAAGGAAGAAGGUCUUCGGAUUGUAAACUUCUGUCAUUGGGGACGAAGGAAGUGACGGUACCCAAUGAGGAAGCCCCGGCUAACUACGUGCCAGCAGCCGCGGUAAUACGUAGGGGGCGAGCGUUGUCCGGAAUUACUGGGCGUAAAGGGUGCGUAGGCGGCGAUGCAAGUCCAUUGUGAAAAGCCCGGGCUUAACCUGGGAGGUGCAGUGGAAACUGCAUGGCUUGAGUGCAGGAGAGGAAAGUGGAAUUCCUAGUGUAGCGGUGAAAUGCGUAGAUAUUAGGAGGAACACCAGUGGCGAAGGCGGCUUUCUGGACUGUAACUGACGCUGAGGCACGAAAGCGUGGGGAGCAAACAGG
rnacentral:rRNA from 2 species